UAAGGAAUAUUGGUCAAUGGACGCAAGUCUGAACCAGCCAUGCCGCGUGGAGGAUUAAGGCCCUCUGGGUUGUAAACUCCUUUUAUCUGGGAAGAAAUGUACUUUUUCUUGAGUACUUGACGGUACCAGAGGAAUAAGCACCGGCUAACUCCGUGCCAGCAGCCGCGGUAAUACGGAGGGUGCAAGCGUUAUCCGGAUUCACUGGGUUUAAAGGGUGCGUAGGUGGGCAGGUAAGUCAGUGGUGAAAUCUCCGGGCUUAACCCGGAAACUGCCGUUGAUACUAUUUGUCUUGAAUAUUGUGGAGGUAAGCGGAAUAUGUCAUGUAGCGGUGAAAUGCUUAGAUAUGACAUAGAACACCAAUUGCGAAGGCAGCUUACUACACAAUCAUUGACGCUGAGGCACGAAAGCGUGGGGAUCAAACA
rnacentral:rRNA from 1 species